rnacentral:misc_RNA from 1 species
CUCGCGCCCAUCUGGGCUGCGGUGUUGGGGACCGGCCUGCCCCCCCGGGCGCGCCGCCCCCCAAAAUCAGUGGCGGUCUCGCUGCAGCCUCCCUUGCGUAGUAGCACACCUCGCACCGGAGCGCAGCGCGGCCACGCCGUAAAACCCCCGACCCCCAUGAGUUUGACCUCGGAUCAGGUAGGAAUACCCGCUGAACUUAA